UCUCAGUGCGGAAAUUCGGUGUCGUCGAAAACACCAUGUUGGCCGCUCUCAAGUUCCUCUCUGCUAGCAGUGAAUAUCGAAACGCAAUCUGCAAAGACCGUUAAUCAUAUAAGAUGAGGUCGUUGAUUGGCUACUGCGAUAUUUCCUAAUCAACUUUCGUCGCACAGUAAACCUGUAGUCCCUGUAUGGAAUUAAGAUAAAAAUUUCUCGCUUGUAAAUUUCUAAUCACUUAUAGUCGCAUAUGAGUUAAAACGAGAAACGUACGUUCGUAUCUUGUACUGUUGAUUUACUUUUGUCGUUUAGCAGCAAGCGAACUUUAUGGUACACAAAGUCAUUUUAUUUACUAAGCUGUAUCUUCUAAGAUAAUACAUAACCAAUAAGGUUUUGUCUAACAUAGUGUUCCUUGUUAGAAAACGGCCUCAUUCUAAUUACAGGUAAAUUUGUACAUAUAAGAAUGUCAGCACAGUUGGUGACGUCAUCUGUAUUUAAGAUUCCAAUGAAUCACCUCCUAUCGAUGUCCUUGUAUAUGUUCGAAAAACAUUUUAUGUAUGUCUCUCGUUGAGAUGAACUCUUUCACUUCGGCAGUCCAGUCCGCCGAAAUGCCGUUAUUGAACGGAAACACGCACCAGAAAUGUGCACAGUGCGUAGUUUUUGUAUAUACGUUUUUCUAAGUUUUAAAUAACAAUUGUGCUCUAAUAAAACAAUCGUUGCUCUAAUAUAACAAGUAUA